rnacentral:rRNA from 1 species
UACAGGGGGGGCAAGCGUUGUUCGGAAUUACUGGGCGUAAAGGGCUCGUAGGUGGCCAACUAAGUCAGACGUGAAAUCCCUCAGCUUAACUGGGGAACUGCGUCUGAUACUGGACGGCUUGAGUUUGGGAGAGGGAUGCGGAAUUCCAGGUGUAGCGGUGAAAUGCGUAGAUAUCUGGAGGAACACCGGUGGCGAAGGCGGCAUCCUGGACCAAUACUGACACUGAGGAGCGAAAGCCAGGGGAGCAAACGGG